rnacentral:rRNA from 1 species
CCGUGGCUGCAGUGGGGAAUAUUGCACAAUGGCGGAAACCCUGAUGCAGCGACGCCGCGUGAGUGAAGAAGUAAUUCGUUAUGUAAAGCUCUAUCAGCAGGGAAGAAAAUGACGGUACCUGAGUAAGAAGCCCCGGCUAACUACGUGCCAGCAGCCGCGGUAAUACGUAGGGGGCAAGCGUUAUCCGGAUUUACUGGGUGUAAAGGGAGCGUAGACGGCAGUGCAAGUCUGGAGUGAAAGGCGGGGGCUCAACCCCCGGACUGCUCUGGAAACUGUACGGCUGGAGUGCAGGAGAGGUAAGUGGAAUUCCUAGUGUAGCGGUGAAAUGCGUAGAUAUUAGGAGGAACACCAGUGGCGAAGGCGGCUUACUGGACUGUAACUGACGUUGAGGCUCGAAAGCGUGGGGAGCAAACAGGAUUAGAUACCCCAGUAGUC